UCUCCUUUCUCCAAUCAGUGAAACUGAUCUUCCCGUGAAGAAGCGGGAAUAAAUUUAUAAGACGAGAAGACCCCAUGGAGCUUUAAACCCAGUUACAUCCUUAUAUCUAAAUUCUUUUAAACCUUUAAGGUGCUGUACAUCUGGUUUUAGGUUGGGGUGACCGCGGAGUAUAAACUAACCUCCAUAAUGAAUGGAACUAUUUCCUUAUCUAAGAAUUACGCCUCUAAGAAUUAAUAUUUUAACAUUUAAUGAUCCAAUAUUUGAUCAACGAACCAAGUUACCCUGGGGAUAACAGCGCAAUCCGCUUCAAGAGCUCCUAUCGACAAGCGGGUU
rnacentral:rRNA from 1 species